rnacentral:rRNA from 1 species
AAUUUUGGACAAUGGGGGGAACCCUGAUCCAGCCAUCCCGCGUGUGCGACGAAGGCCUUCGGGUUGUAAAGCACUUUUGGCAGGAAAGAAAUCGCAUAGGAUGAUACCCUGUGUGGAUGACGGUACCUGCAGAAUAAGCACCGGCUAACUACGUGCCAGCAGCCGCGGUAAUACGUAGGGUGCAAGCGUUAAUCGGAAUUACUGGGCGUAAAGCGUGCGCAGGCGGUUUGGCAAGAAGGAUGUGAAAUCCCAGGGCUUAACCUUGGAACUGCAUUCUUAACUGCCAGGCUAGAGUAUGUCAGAGGGGGGUAGAAUUCCGCGUGUAGCAGUGAAAUGCGUAGAGAUGCGGAGGAAUACCGAUGGCGAAGGCAGCCCCCUGGGAUAAUACUGACGCUCAUGUACGAAAGCGUGGGGAGCAAACAG